UCCAAGUCUCACUCUCGUAUCUCUCUCACCUCUCUCACUGCCGUCAAUCUCCACAUCUCGUAUCUCUCUCGCAAUGAAAGCCGCUGGAGCUUGAGCUCUCUCCGCCUCUCUCUCUACCUCUCUGCCUCUCUCUCUCAGCCUCUAUCUCUCCGCCUCUCUCUCUCAGCCUCUACCUCUCCGCCUUUCUCUCUCACCGCAUCUCUCUCUCGCUACAUCUCUCUCUCUCGAGUAUCUCUCUAAGUCUCUCUCGAUUUUUUGUUUUUCUUCUGUUUGAAGUUCCUCUGUUCAUUGAUGGGUUUGAUUGUUCUCUGAUUUAUGAAUGAUGAAUGAUGGGUUUGUUUGUUCUCUGACAUUGAUUCUUAUGUGAAUUAUGAAUGAUGGGUUUGAUUGUUCUCUGACAUUGAUUGUUCUUUUGUGAAUAUCCUUAUCUCACUAGUAGAAUCUCAUAGCUUGUGAAUUAUGAAUGAUGGGUUUGAUUGUUCUUCUGUGAAUUAUGAAAAAUGGGUUUGAUUGCUCUAUGACAUUGUCUCUCUCUUCAACUUGCUCAUAAACCAUAUGACAAGAAGCUAUUGAUCUUCAAGAGUAUUCUAACGCAAAGCUUGAGAAGGUUACUCGUGGAGCAUUGAGAAGGUUAGUGGUGCUCUGUCCCUUAAGUGGUGCUCACUGAUUUUUUGAUUCAGCACUGUUUGAAGCUUCCUUGCUAGUUUGAUAGUACACUUUUAAAGAUGUGGUGUAUUGGUUUCUCAAACAGAUGAAUAUAAAACUGUGCUUAGCUGUCCUUUAAGAUGUUUAUUUUGUUUUGGCUACCGUCUUUUCCCUUCAAGUUUGGUAGUCAUGAUUGGUUUGUCUUGAAUUUUAAUUCUUGCUACGACCAGUUUGGUCUUGAAUUUUAUAUUGAAAUAAAGCGUUAAAAAAAAGUUGUGCUUAGCUCUCGUUUGUCUUGUUUAAGCUUGUCUAGUUUCUUAAACUAUUCCACUGACCAUUGGAACUUUAUUCUCUUGUAGAUACUUGUUGCAAUGACCUCUGUCCCUGGUACUGAUAUAAGUACAUUUUUAAUUGAAUGCUUCUCUUAGUUUAGUUAGGUUCUCCUAUUAAAUAUUUGUAUAUCCAAAGUCUCUUGCAUGGACUGAUGAACCAACCCGGUUCUAUCUACAACUGAGAAUUAGCUGAAAGGAAAUGACAGAAAGCAAAAUAUCAAUGAAGCUGGGAGACAGUCCAUCAUUGACAAAUUCUAUGAAGCUUAUGGGGAAAGAUAUCCUUGGAAAAAAUUUGGGAUCAAACACACUACUUGCAAGACUCAGUAUACUAAAUACAAGCGGCUGAUUCACAAGAGAACUGGCCUUGGCUAUGAUCCAUUUGGGUUCAUAGACAUGUCAGAUGACUGGUGGAAUGAACUUUUUAAGGUAUACAAUUGUCAGUUGGAUGGAGAUGACAAAUGGAGAAACGAACAGCCCCACUAUCAUCUUUUUAUUCAAGUUCAGCUUAACCUUUUGAGUGUGUUGUUGAGGGACUUCUCCAAAUUUGUAUUACAAAAUUGACAUUUUAUGAAAAAAAAAACACUUAUGGUCAAUCGUG